CCGCGCCAGACCCGGCUGGGCCCGGCCCGCUGUGCGUUCGGCAUCUCCGGACCCCAGCAGCGGUGCUGCUCCCAGCCAACCCCGCAGAGAGCGAGACUCCUGUCCUCUGUCACGCAGAGAAGCCACUCAGUGAUUACACAAUGGUUUGGGGGGCUCGGGUCGAAUAUCACUACCUGCGCUGUCCCUCAGCGCAGCCCCAGGCCCUGCUUCCAUCGACUCGCCAGCGUUCCAGUCACAGCUGUAACCCCGCCAAAGCCAUCGAAGCUAGACCUUAUGUGUGUUACAAGCCGCUGAAGGAGUUGCUGCUGCCUCUGAGGCACACACAGACCUGACUUGACACAGAGGAAGCCUCCAAACCCAGGAGAUGCUGGAGAUGGCUUUCUCUCCUUUGAUGGAGUUCAGCUUGUCCAGGCCCUGCUCACAGUGACAGAUCUGGGAAACAGUGCAAGGCAAAGCUCCAGGCUGUGAUCUCCAGGAGGAAAACAGCACUGGAAAUUCACUUCUCCCUUCUUGAAACUGGAUUGUGACCGCAGAGCAAGAGAAUGCUUGGAACUUAGUCUGCUGUUUGAAGAGGAUUGAAGUAAAACAAAUAUUUUUGUAAUAAAAAUUUAAUAUCCUUUU